rnacentral:rRNA from 1 species
GUCUUUAAGAUUAUAAUUUAAAGUYUAAUYUGCUCCAUGAUUUUAUUAAAUAGCUGCAGAAUUUUAACUGUACAAAGGUAGCAUAAUCAAUAGUUUUUUAAUUGAAAGCUGGUAUGAAUGAUUUGAUAAAAUAAUUAUUGUCUCAAAUUUAAUAGAAUUAGAAUUUUUUUUUUAGUUAAAAUACUAAAAAUGAUUUAAAAGACGAGAAGACCCUAUAGAUUUUUAUAAUUUAUAAAUUAGUAAAUUUUAAUUAAAUAAAAUGUAUUAAAAUUUAAAUUAUUUGGUUGGGGUAAUUAUUAAAUUAAUAAAAUUUUAAUUAUUUUUAAACAAAAAUUAUUGAAUUUUUGAUCUUAAAAUAUAAAUUAUUAGAAUAAAAUACCUUAGGGAUAACAGCGUAAUUUUUUUAGAGAGAUCAUAUUAAUAAAAAAGUUUGCGACCUCGAUGUUGAAUUAAGAUAAAAUUUUAAKGUAGAAGUUAAAAAUUUUUGGUCKGUUCGACCAUUAAAAUCUUACG